UACAGAGGGUGCAAGCGUUAAUCGGAAUUACUGGGCGUAAAGCGUGCGUAGACGGUAGCGUAAGUCGGGUGUGAAAGCCCCGGGCUCAACCUGGGAAUGGCAUUCGAGACUGCUCUGCUAGGGUGCGGAAGAGGGGAGCGGAAUUUCCGGUGUAGCGGUGAAAUGCGUAGAUAUCGGAAGGAACACCAGUGGCGAAAGCGGCUCCCUGGUCCAGCACCGACGUUCAGGCACGAAAACGUGGGGAGCAAACAGG
rnacentral:rRNA from 1 species